AAUUGAGGCAAGGAGUGCAGCAUGCAAGUUUGAACAUAUAUGUCAGUAAUUUGGUCCCAAGCUGCUCGCAAAAUAAGGUUUUGCAUCACAUAAUUAUGUUCUUUGAACAUAACUGAAAAUAGAAGCUCCUAUUAUUUGCUCACUUUUUGCUAUUUCCAAUACGAACAUUCCAUUCAAACGACUUAGAAAUAGAAAAUUACAACCAUACCAACAUUGUGAAAUAAUGGUACUUUGAUUGGUUGACAGAAGCUAAAAGAUCAAACUGUACCUAGACUGUCUCUGUUUCAAACAUUCUACUCAGCUAAACCAAUAACUGAUAAUUAAGCUUGAAAGAAGUGAUUUUGGUGUAUAACAGUAUUGAAGCAUGUCAACAUUCUCUUCCUAAAAGGAGUAUUUAUUGCCUUUCAAUUCCAUUCACAGAUUUUCUUAUCCACUAUUUUACAAAUUUUGUUAGCAGUUUACCAAUUUUCAGUAGAAUUUUGCUCAUGCAAGCACACAAGGGCAACCUAGUUUCUUU
rnacentral:lncRNA from 1 species